AGAGAGCGUUAACCGGAGGUCCGACGGAGCGGUGAGCCGUCGGCGGUAAACGGGAGGAAUGGCGGCGGCGGCGGCGUCCCAUCUGGACGGUGGCACGAAGCGGCGGCGGAAGGACGAGGAAGUAGAAGCAGGCGCGGAGGCGGCAGAGGACCGCAUCUCGGAGCUGCCGGAGGCGCUGCGGCUGCACGUCCUCUGCCUGCUCCCGCUCAAAUCCGCCAUCCGCACGGGCGCGCUCUCCACCCGGUGGCGCUCCCUCUGGACGCACCGCUGGCCGGCGCCCUCCUCCCUCGACUUCCGCCUCGGCAUCGGCGACUCCCCGCACCCGCUCCUCGAAACCCUAGAGCGGCGCGGGUGGCGGCGCCUCCAGCGGUUCGCCCUCUCCUUCGGCAUCGGCGCGUUCAAGGCCGAGCACUUCCGCCGCUGCCUCGACCUCGCCAUCGCCUGCGCCGUCGAGGACCUGCACGUCCACCGCGUGCACCACUUCUUCGCCCGCUUCUACAAGUUCCGGCUCCCGCUGGGUGACCCCCACCUCGCCCGCCUCUCGUUCCGCUACAUCAGCGUCGACCUCCCCGACUCCUUCUCCGCCCGCUCCCACCGCUUCACCGCUCUCGAGGUCAUCCACCUCCGCUGCGUCCACAUCUCCGACGACACAGUCAGCAGCCUGGUCGCCGCGUGCCCCCUCCUCCACACCCUCGAUUUGCGCUACUGCGAAGGCCUCGACUCCGUCAGCGUCGCGGCGGCCGGGGCGCACCUGAGUAGCCUCACCGUUGCAGAGUGCGAUCCGUGCACCGACGUUGUUUUGGCCGAUGAGGCAUCCGGUCUGCGCUCAUUCCGCUACAGCGGUGCCUACAUGCCCGCCUACAGCAUCCCGGCCACCAUCACUAGUCUUGCUGACCUUUACAUCUGCUUCGGAGCAUCUAACCGCCGGCGACGCUUGUCAGGCACCAGAAUCCGGUUUUAUGGACAGGAGGCUCACGCUUGCGAGCUGCGCAGAAACUGGCUUCAACUACUAACCAGUCUGUCCAACCUCACCGUGCUUACCCUCUGCAGCAGUAUCCUACGGAGACUGUCUGCCAAAGCUCGUGCCAGAUUAGCUGCCACAGGCGCUGCACCAUGCAAAUUGCUGAAUUUGAGAGAGCUUCAGCUACUGAUGUUCGAAGUGGAGAUCAACAACAUGAACGACAUUUACUCUUUCCUUGUGGCAUGCUGUGGCCCUCGUUUGGAGAGGCUAUUUGUGCAGCUUCCGACAAUCAAUUAUCCAUAUGAGCCAGAGGAUGAACCAUCAGGAUCAGAGUCAGAGGAAUUUGGAUCAAUGGGAGAGCUAUCAUACCAAGAGGCACAUGGGGAAGGUGAGCUGGAUGACGACUUGUCAGAAGGAGAAGCAACAGAGAAAGAUGGGCUAGAGGAACAGCUGUCAGAGGGAGAUGCCCUGGAGGAAGAUGAGAUAGAGGAAGAGUUGUCAGAGGGAGAAGAACUAGAGGAAGAGCUUUCAGAGGGAAAUGAACUAGUGGAAGAGUUGUCAGGGGGAGAGCCACCUGAGGAAAAGCAAUCACAGAAACAGGGGUCAAUGGAAGAGCAAUCUGAUGGAGGGCAAUCAGAGGAAGAGACACUAGAGCACGGCGAUGUCUUUGAGAACCUUAUGUUGCUCAAAAUGAUGAAUUUCAUGGGACGCGACAAUGAGAUGCAGCUAGUAAGCCUUGUGUUGAAGAAGGCUACUAGUCUCAAGCAACUGAUACUAUUUACUCCCAAGAUUAAUCACCCAGAAGAGCUCCACAAGGAUCAUAUGAAUACUUCCCAUUUGCUUGAAAGAAAACUAUUUUCUCUCAGAAGGGCCUCGCCAGAUGCUCAGAUAGUUCUCAGCGAGCCUGAUGAUAGUGCAGUCCAGCCGUUGCAUGAGGCUUUAGUCAAGAUUUACUGAUUUUUGUUGUUGUGGAGUUAUGAUCGGAUAAUGUGAAAUAUCAGAAACUAGCAACCAUUAGAGAAGAACAUAAACAUGUACAGUUAUAUGGAGUUUCAACAGGCAUCAAUCCUGGAAACUGUACCCUAAUGGUGUUAGCUGAGGCCAAAUUAUGUACUACCUAGAAUCAGAGGAAAAUGGGUCAAUGCAAGAGUUAUCAUAGGAAGAGGUACCGGAGGAAGAUGAGCUGGGUGAAGACUUGUCAGAAGGAGCAGAACUGGAGAAAGAUACGCUAGAGGAAGAGCGCAGAUGCUCUGGAGGAAGAUGAGCUAGAGGAAGAGCUGACAGAGGGAGAUGAACUAGAGGGAGCUGUCAGAGGGAAAUGAACUAGAGGAGUUGUCAGGGGGGGAGCCUCCUGAGGAAAAGCAAUUACAGAAACAGGGGUUAGAGGAACAGGGGUCAAUGGAAGAGCUAUUUGAUAGAGGGCAAUCAGAGGGAGAGACACUAGAGGAUCACGAUGGCUUUGAGAACUUUAUGUUGCUCAAUAUGAUGAAUUUCAUGGGGCGCAACAAUGAGAUGCAGCUGUAAGCCUUGUGGUGAAAAGGUCUACUAGUCUCAAGCAACUGACACUAUUUACUCUCAAGAUUAAUCACCUAGAAGAGCUCCAGAAGGAACAUACGAAUACUUGCCAUUUUCUUGAAAGAAAACACUAUGGUCUCUCAGAAAGGCCUCACCAAAUGCUCACAUAGUUCUCGGCGAGCCUGAUGAUAGUGCAAUCCAGCCGUUGCAAGAGGCUUUCGUCAAGAUUUACUGAUUUUUUGUUGUCGUGGAGUUAUGAUCGGAUAAUGUGAAAUAUCAGAAACUGGCAAUCAUUAGGUAAGACAAGGAACAAGCUAAUCUGCAAGGUAGGCGGGAUGCUAUGUUCUGCAGUCCAUGAAGGAUCAUGGAGUAUGUCGUCUGUGCCUUCUAUUUUGCGGGUUAACUCUUUAAGACUCUUAUAAAAAAUAUCAUGAUUACCCAGUGUCUACACUAGCCUGUUGCCUUGUUGGUGGACAAGAAAGUCUUACAAAAACAAUUUAGAAGGCUGAGACUUAUUGUGCUCUAUCUCUGCUGUUCAAUUUGCAUUUAGUACAGCAGUACUUUAAUCAGCUGGUACAACAACGAGUGGUGCAAUUUUAUCUAUUUUUCAGUUCUCCUUAUGUAUUACUGUCAGUAUUGCCCAUCUUCAUUGCCGAUUAAAAGUUAUUUUGCUGGUGCCAGUAGAAAAUCUAAAACAUGUACAGUAAUAUGGAAUUUCCACAGGCAUGAAUCCUGGGAACUGUACCCUAAUUUUGGUAGUUGGUGCCAAAUUAUGUACUGCUGAUAUGUUUGAUCAGAUGUUGACUUGUCUGUCACUUGUCUGAAUCUGAAAUUCUGAAUAUGUGUCACUUUCUACGUGUGCUCUACUGGAAACUCAGUUUAGCCUGCCACUUGUGUAAAAUCCUCGAACAUAUGACUGCAGGACAAGUUCUUUGUAGCAUGUCUUGUACUGUAAAUUCAGUUGAGCCUGUCACCGGUGUGACGGAAGAAUUUGUGGCUGGUGACAGCAUCAGGCCAUGUCAUGUUUGCCUACCUAUGUUGUGCGUCAGGCCAAGCGUCUCUAAAUAACCAUCAUUUGGUGCCUUGCUGGUGUGGUCAUCAUGUAUAAAUACGCAACAUAGUGGAGUUGUCGGUGUUGGUUGGUUGUGUGCUGUUGUGGGUCAGAGCCUGUGCACCAGAUCCAAAGGAAGUUACCAAGGCACCAGACCUUUACCCCUCAGAUUUUGCAAGAUAGGCUGGGUGUUCAGUUCUGUAAUUGACGAAGAUCUUUUUGAUCCAGUUUCUUAUUAAUCAACAUUGUUGCCUUAUUGGUGUUUUGCCUGGAACGAAGUGGUCAUAAUUCAGUGCAAUAGCUGGGGAACAAGGCCGUAUGAAUAUAGUGUAGUAGGUUGAGACUUGAGACUUGAGACUUGCUAUGCUUUUUUUUCUUUUUUUUUGUUGCUCUCAACAAUCUUCAUUUAGUACAGCAUUGCAGUGAUCAGCUGGAAGAUCAGCAACAGUUUACAGUGUUAUGUUUUCCCACUUUUUCCUUGUGCAUUGUCCUAGCAUCUUCAUUACUGCUUUUAAGAGUUUAUUACUCCCUUUUAGGCAUGA